rnacentral:rRNA from 1 species
GACGUAGGGCGCGAGCGUUUGUCCGGAUUUAUUGGGCGUAAAGAGCGUGUAGGCGGCCCGAUAAGUCCGCUGUGAAAGUCCAGGCUCAACCCUGGAAUGCCGGUGGAUACUGUCGGGCUCGAAUCGGAAGAGGUGAGUGGAAUUCCUGGUGUAGCGGUGAAAUGCGCGAUAUCAGGAGGAACACCAAUGGCGAAGGCAGCUCUGGGACGUAUUGACGCUGAGACGCGAAAGCGUGGGGAGCAAACAGGAUUAAGAUACCGUGUAG